UACGUAGGGUGCGAGCGUUGUCCGGAAUUAUUGGGCGUAAAGAGCUCGUAGGCGGUGUGUCGCGUCGGCCGUGAAAACCUGCAGCUUCACUGUGGGCGUGCGGUCGAUACGGGCAUGACUGGAGUUCGGCAGGGGAGACUGGAAUUCCUGGUGUAGCGGUGAAAUGCGCAGAUAUCAGGAGGAACACCGGUGGCGAAGGCGGGUCUCUGGGACGAUACUGACGCUGAGACGCGAAAGCGUGGGGAGCGAACAGG
rnacentral:rRNA from 1 species